UGAGUUUACUAUGGUGCUAGGGCAAAUUUUCUCUUUAUUACUAUCGUUUCCAUAAAUCUUUAUAUCAUAUUUUUUUAAUUUAUUUUUUAAUUUUUUUUCGGUACUUAAUUUUUCAUUCAUUUCUACACAAUCCAUGAAACAAAUGUUCGUUUUUCGCACCAAUUCGUUUUUUAUUUUAAUUUUAACAGAGUGUCACAAAACUUCGAUUCACUACGUCCUUCAUGAUAACCUAGCAGAGGACUAUACUUUAUUUUGCUUAUUGUUUUGUAUCAAAAGUAGUUCAAAAAAUUGUAUGUUUACUCUUGUAGGACAUGUAAACUUAAGAACACAAAAAGUGGAAAAAUCCACUCGAUCCUUUACACAAUAAGAUACUGAUAAUCAAGUGGAUUGUUGGUUCUUUAUUAACUUCAAUUAUCUAGUUGUAACCUGGACUAAGUGUUAUGUGUGUCAACAAAUUAUUAUUUAGCAAGUUAAUUGUGCCAUUUUCUAACCAAGGGCGUAGUUAUAAUACCUACAUAUAUGUUCGUGUCUCUAUGCCAAUAAAAUAUUAAUACCAAUUAUAUUAAAAUUAGUCAUUAAAUAAAAAUAGCAUUUAUCGAUAAUUUAUUGCAGGCAUCCACAAGCGAUAAAAAUUUGCUAAUAAGUCUAAAAAUUAUCAAAAACUUGUAAAAUAAGUGCGAUAAAUGAAAUUUAAUGCCACAUUAUUUCAACGUUGAUAAACCGUAUUAAAAAUUUUUCUAAAUUAGCGUUAGUAAAAUGUUUAUGACCUUUAUUAAAGCUCUUUCAUCUCUCACGAACGUCUUUGUUAAAUUUAAUAAACCAAACCAAUAAAUUAAUCAAAGUGAAUAAAUUGUGUCAUGCAGGUUUCGAGCAACUUUGUGAUAAACCUUGUUAUCGACGUAUUUUUUCACAGUUGGCUCAAUUAGUAACUAUUCCAAAACCUUGUCCACCAAAGUCAAGGCCGUGCCCAAGCCCCAAAAUCGUGUUUCCAUUCAAAUUAUCACACUAAAAUGGGUCUCUGUCCUAAAAACCUCGGAGUAAACAAAUUUCUCGUCUUUUCGAACCGUUCCUUCGAUAAUCGAACGAGAAUCGGUCCGUUGAAACCACACUCAACUGGUGUGUUCUCGCCGCUUCCUGCAAUUUACACAAAAAAUCCAGCAUCUUGUAGAUAAAAGAUUAGGAUUUUUCCGGGUCACGGUGACGCUUCGGGUCCAGUAAACCAAGACCCCUUUGACGUCACCGUCGACGACGCCUUUAUUUGCCCACUGAUCGAUACCUUGCGAGAUGGUCAGAUCUAGAUCGGUCAAGAAAUAUCCGGAAAAGCGAACCCAAGCCUAUUUAUCCGAGAGUGGUCACUCUUGCGUCCAGUCUGCGUGUCUGAGGAACAGGUGAAAAGCGACGAAACGUCCAGUAACACAAUAAUGACUCCUGC